CAGGGUCUCCUGCCCUGCUUACUCGGCCGCCACGUGGUGGCCGGGUGAGGGCCUCGGGCGGCAU
rnacentral:pre_miRNA from 1 species